AGUUAUCCUCAACUUUUAUUUGUUCAUGUUGUCUCCACAAACUGACUUGUGUAUGUGUUCAUGGAUCAGAGACAGCAUGCGCUACCACGAGCAUGAGGACAUCUGGGUGCGACAGUCAGAGAGCUUGUCGAGAGGCUCGGUAGGAUGGAGGGUGUCCCGCUAGCUACCCGCGUCAUUGCCAACGGUGCCAUGGGAUUUGUGGUGCACAUGGUCAAGGAGAUGGGUGUUCGGAUUCUUGGGCAACCUCAGCUUCGAUCAACAUGUCAAUACAGGAUACGUGCUAUUCAAAGAGUGACAUAAAUUCAGAGUCCUUCCAUUGAAAUCUAGAGGAUCGGGUGCAUUUUUGUUCAGGUCUGAAAUGAGAAGAAAUAACCAAUUACUUUUUCUCUGAAGUUUCCCAAUGUAAAUCCUUUGUUUUUGAGAAAGAAUCAAAGCAUGCCAGCUGACGAAGGUAACUGAACCCAACCUAGGCCUGCCUUUUACACUUCUCCUUUGUUAGCAAAAUUUUAUUUGAAUGGUUCGAUGUAGCAAAGAGAUCUGCAGUGCCAUAGUUGAUGAUAGUAUGCAUUUGUGUUCAGGUGCU